ACAGUCUUCAACAGGCUGUCCACUCAGGAGGACCUCAAGCGGACACUCAAGACUCCUUCGAGCCGAUGUCAGAACC
rnacentral:lncRNA from 1 species